rnacentral:rRNA from 1 species
UACGUAGGUCCCGAGCGUUGUCCGGAUUUAUUGGGCGUAAAGCGAGCGCAGGUGGUUUAUUAAGUCUGGUGUAAAAGGCAGUGGCUCAACCAUUGUAUGCAUUGGAAACUGGUAGACUUGAGUGCAGGAGAGGAGAGUGGAAUUCCAUGUGUAGCGGUGAAAUGCGUAGAUAUAUGGAGGAACACCGGUGGCGAAAGCGGCUCUCUGGCCUGUAACUGACACUGAGGCUCGAAGGCGUGGGGAGCAAACAGG